UCUUUCAGCACCCCUCUGGUACACUUGAAGGCAGAGGUACCACGGGCCAUCGUGAUUAAGGCUACUACUUGACCCUUUUUACCCACCCACCUUCGGACUCUUCCCCUCUGGACUGAGCAGCUGGGAGCAACCAAAUGACCCACCCUCAUGCAAUAGUUUUCUGGAUACCAAGCAUACAAAAUCAAUGAGAGGAUCUAGAAUUCUUCAAAAGGGAAAAAAUGCAAUGCAAAAUGUGGCAUGGAUAGAUCCCUUUUGACCAUACACAGGAGCAUGUAUUGAUGGAUGAUGAAUGCUAUGGUGGAAUGGGAAGUUCCAUCUAAGUCUGCACUUUGGGGACAACUGAGAGGAGUAUCACUCUCUUGUAUGCCAGGGGACUAUAUGUCGUAUAGACACAAAAGAAUUGUUCAGUUUCAAAUAUUGUUGUCCUUAGAGCAAUGUAAUAAUAUCUAAAACCUUUUAACUUUGUAACUGUAAGUAGCUGCCAGAUCUCAUAAGUGCUAAAAGAACAGAAUGUGCCUGAAUUGAUAGUUAAGCUUGAAAAAAUGCUGAAAUAUUUGUCUAGAAUCAGGUUAUGUAGAGAUUGGGAAAAUGUGUUUGGAGAAGCAUGAAAGGAAAAGGGGGGACUUUUAUGAUGACUAUGACAUAAUUCUUACAAAUAAAUAAAUAGAAAUCAAUAAUAAAACUGUGCAUGUAAUCCUAGAAGAACAGGACAGAGAAAUACUUGAAGUAUAUGACACCAUAAAUUGAAUGAGCCUAGCAUAUAUUUAUGAUCACUUCACUAACACCUAAAUCCAUAUACUUUAUUCUCACCAGUUCAUGGAACUUUCUCCAAAACUGAACACAUACUUGGACACAAAGCAUUUCUCAACAGAUGGAAGAAAUUAAGACAACACCUUGAAAACUCUCUGACUGCCAUUGAUUAAAGAUGGAUACCACCACCAAUAGAAACCACAGAAAUGGGAAAUGAAUAAUGCACUACUCUAAGAAAAUUGGGACAAGAGUAAUGAAGUUUUUGUAAAUUGAAUGAAA